rnacentral:tRNA from 1 species
GGACUCGUAGUCUAACCUGGUAGGAUAGGGGCUUCCGGAGCCUUAGACCCGGGUUCAAAUCCCGGCGAGUCCG